rnacentral:rRNA from 1 species
CACGGGGGUUGCGAGCGUUGUCCGGAAUUACUGGGCGUAAAGGAUGCGUAGGUGGAUACUUAAGUGGGAUGUGAAAUCCCCGGGCUCAACCCGGGAACUGCAUUCCAAACUGGGUAUCUAGAGUGCAGGAGAGGAAAGCGGAAUUCCUAGCGUAGCGGUGAAAUGCGUAGAUAUUAGGAGGAACACCAGUGGCGAAGGCGGCUUUCUGGACUGUAACUGACACUGAGGCAUGAAAGCGUGGGUAGCAAACAGG